rnacentral:rRNA from 1 species
UUGGGAAUAUUGCACAAUGGGCGCAAGCCUGAUGCAGCCAUGCCGCGUGUGUGAAGAAGGCCUUCGGGUUGUAAAGCACUUUCAGCGGGGAGGAAGGCGGUGAGGUUAAUAACCUCAUCGAUUGACGUUACCCGCAGAAGAAGCACCGGCUAACUCCGUGCCAGCAGCCGCGGUAAUACGGAGGGUGCAAGCGUUAAUCGGAAUUACUGGGCGUAAAGCGCACGCAGGCGGUCUGUCAAGUCGGAUGUGAAAUCCCCGGGCUCAACCUGGGAACUGCAUUCGAAACUGGCAGGCUAGAGUCUUGUAGAGGGGGGUAGAAUUCCAGGUGUAGCGGUGAAAUGCGUAGAGAUCUGGAGGAAUACCGGUGGCGAAGGCGGCCCCCUGGACAAAGACUGACGCUCAGGUGCGAAAGCGUGGGGAGCAAACAGG